rnacentral:lncRNA from 1 species
CAUGAUGGUAGUCUCGUGAAAAGGGUGGUGGUCGAGCGGAAGUGAAGGUUUAUACGGCGGAACAUGGAGUAGGUCGGAGGGAGAAAAGUGUUUGGGUUGAGAAGUGUUCGGUGAUGGUAGAUCCGGUGAAGAAUGGUGGCGGAGGUAGAGGUAUUGUGUGGGGUUUCGCAGCGAUGAAGAAGAAGAAACGAACAGUGGUUCGAAAUGGAAGGUGGGAGGUGCGUCGUCGAAAAAUGAGGUUUGUGAGGAGUUUGGAAGGGUUGUUGAGGGUGGUGCGGUUAUGGCGGUGAGGAUGAAAGAAUUUCCGACGGCGAGUUUGGAAUGAAGAAGAUGGUUGUGUGGCUAUGUUCUCGCGGCGUUGGAGAGGUAGCGAAGGGGAGCGGCGGUGUGUGUGAGGGAUCGAAGAAGAGGAACAGUGAUUCCUCCUUUUCUUUUUCUUUCUGUUUUCUUUUUAGUAGAGAGAGGAGAGGGGGACAUGAGGUGAGGUGAAGAGAGAUGUUCCUCCUUUUCUUUUCUGUUUUCUGCUUCUUUUAUUUUGUACCGUUGGAGAGGAGUGUGGAGUGAGAGGACCACUUGCCAGCUAUGUUUGCCAGCUAUGUAUCAGUAA